CUGUAAGUUGAUAUUUUCUCGCACCCGUUAUCGUUCCUCGAAAGUCGAACCAAACAACCUCCGGAGAUGAAGUGGACUAAACUGGAAACAAACAGAAACAAGAAGGAUCCGCGACCUCCUAUUUUAAGCUUUAUUUUAUUCAGAGGGCAAUUUGAAUGCUUAUUCUCGGGAAAUUAAUUCACAGCAGCAAAGGAGAAAAUGAAGACAAAGCACAAGUUUCUCAUUCACUUCGUGCCUGAAUAUUGCAUUCGUGAUGUUCAGAGUGUGUUUGUUAAUGGUGCUGCAUUCCGGAGAGGGUUCAAUUUAGAUAGUAACCGCAUUGUUAUGUGCUUUGGUGCCACGAAUCGUGUUGCCUGAAUGCAGUUACAGACGUGUCAUUCACCGUUUUGAUUAGUCUAUUGUUUGCUUUGCGAUGACUAUGAAUCUCGUCGGUUUCACGUGUUCAUAAUGAAAGGUGAUCUGAUAGUUGUCUUAUUCUGGGAUAAGACACUAUGUGUUACUCCAAGAAGAUGCGGUCGAGUGGAUGAUUUGGGUUUAAGCAAUCAUAUUAUCUUGGUAGCCAUGAAACAAAUGAUAUUGUUGAUAUAUGGAAUAUCUAGGAGGAUUUUUGCUCGAAUGAGAAUCAUGUCUCCUUCUGCAACCUUUGUAAACAAUUAUGAGAAUGGGCAUUGUGUUCAGCAUCCUUCUUCUAGGACUUCUGGUGUACCUGUUGCUCCAAGUAAUACUAUGACCACGCGAGCUACAGGAAGAAAUCAUGGAAAUAGGAAAAGGUCACGUGGAAGCACUAGCUUGGCAAGAGAGGAAGGACAAACUUCUUCAAGUGAGCCCAAUGCUAUUCCUACAAGGUCAAGGAGAACGACUCCAAGAACAGUUAUUGAGGAUUACAUAACUCCUGCCGAAGGAGCCAUAUUGCACUCGCCACUUGUUCGUGGUACUUCUGAUGUUCCUUUUCCACCCUCAGGAGGACAUCAGAGCAGAUCUGGCAGGAAAGCUAGCUUGUCCAGAACUUAUGAAGGGUCUCGUUCAAGCUCUGCAACAGGUGACGAGGUACCUGGUAUAAGCUCGGAAACAGCCGACAGAGAAGAUGCUGGGGUUUCUGAGGAUGACCUGACACCUGCAGAGAGGGCUAUCUCUGCCACACGACUUCUCAGUGGCUUAGGGAAGCACCCCUCUGUGUAUGCUAGAGCAGGACGGAACCCUCCCCCACAAGGUCUUAGCUUUCGGGGUGCUUGGAAAAACGCAGUAGAACUGUAUAGUGUAGCAAAUCAUCAGUACAAGGAGCUCCUCCAUAAUGCUGGAUUUGAAGACUUUCUUAAAAUCAAUCCGGUAGAGCUUCCACAGGGAUACCUUAUCGCCUUGAUGGAGAGGUGGUUUGCUCAGACGAACACUGUCCACUUGCCCUGUGGUGAAAUCGGUCCGACUCCAUUAGACUGGACAAUGAUUACUGGGCUUCGUUUUGGAGGUCAAUCCAUAUCCCUGGACCCUAAUUAUGCAAAGGAUGAAGCAGUGAAACUUCUUGGACUUAAACGUAGAAAGAGAGUUUUCCAGGGAAACAGGAUUACCUUGAGUGCGAUCAGACCUACAGAGGCACAGGUGAGGGCUUUUCCCGCAAAUGAUGUCAUAAAGGAAAGGAUUUCCCGUCGAUUGUUCCUCUAUGUCAUCGGCAGUUGUUUCUUCGGAAACAGCAAAUCAGUGAUACAUCAUGAGCUUGUGAAGCUUGUGGAAGAUAUACAUGCAGUGCCAGAUUAUGAUUGGGGGGCAUUUACUUAUGCAGCCUUCCUUGUUGGUAUGAGAAGGAAGGUUACUGGACAGAUAGGAUCCUUCACGGCAUUCUGGCCGUUUUUGGUGUUCUGGGCUUUCGAGUAUCUGAACAUAUGUCGUCCGGAGCACACUGAGAAUGUGAAUGUCUUUCCAAGGGCUAUGCGCUGGAAGUUUCCAGAAAAUGGCGGUACUCUUGAUAAUUUUGACCUUACUGCUUCCCGCUGUCAAUUGGAUUACGUUGAUGACGAGUCCAAGGUGACCUGGCAACCGUACCUGGACAGUGAAAAAUAUAGUUCAGUUGACAUCAAAACUUCAAUUGAUCUGGCGAAGAGCAGGGUACCGUUUAGGAGUUUUGCCACCUGGGAAUAUUAUCUCGGGGAGAGAUGUGGACGACAAUUAGGUCUCCCUUGUCUAGUUCCCUCUGACCCUCCAAAAAAGCUGUACAGAGACUUUACAAAGAAAUCCCCGAGUGGGAAGGUGAAAGAGAAUAAAGAACCCCGAACUAUAGAAAACGCUGCUGAAACUUUGGUGGAGUCAGAGAAUCUUGAAUAUGCCUCCUGGUUCGCAGAAAACUCAAUCGGGAAAAUUGUCGAUGUGACUCGACUAAUUGGAGGAACUGCAAUCGGAAGAAAAGUCAUAAGUGACUGGAUGGCAAAGCACCGAACAGGCAUAGUUUUAGUCCCUAAAUCUGAAGUCGAGGAAAUAACACUGGCUUGUGAUGCUGCUGAUGCUGAGCGUAAAAAGCUUCAAGAAGAGUUGGUAAGAUUUGAUAUUUACUUGCAUUCAGUUCAAUAUGUACUAACUAAUAUUAUUUCAACAAGAAUAUGAUGGUCAAAUGUAAGUUUUGUGUUGUUUCGCAGUCUCAACUUAGAAGAGGUUGAGAUUUCUAAGAGAAGAAUAGGUUCGUCAAGCUCUGAAUAUGUUUCUCCUCAGCUAUGACGAUUCCUAUAUACAAGAUAGUAUCUCUGCAUUAGACUUCUGUCCAGAAACCAACUUAUAAAGAUGAGCAUGGGUUGUCCCGUCCCAAGUCCAGGCCAGCUUAAAGUCACCCGAGGUUUGAUGGCCUUCAUUGCGGUGCUGAUAUAUCUGAAUUGCUUUUAAUGUUUGUAAACUGAAACUUUAGGACUGGGGGACUUGACUUGACAAUUUAGCUGUCCAUAUAGUAGUUAUGGGCUGGAGAUAGUGCUAAGUGCUUGACUGAAGAAAGUAUUUGAUUCAAGUGAGACGAUUUUUUAUUUUUGGGUAAGGAUUCAAGUGAGACGAUUUGUAUACUAGUAUGCUCUAUUGUGCCUAGUGUGGACCAUUUGUUGGGAUAGUAGUAUUAUGAUUGCCAGACUCUUAUCUUUUGUUCUAU